GCUCAGGAUGAACGCUGGCGGCGUGCUUACACAUGCAAGUCGAACGAAGCCCUCGGGCUUAGUGGCGGACGGGUGAGUAACGCGUGAGAAUCUACCUUCGAGAUGGGGACAACCGUUGGAAACGACGGCUAAUCCCCAAUAAGCCGAAAGGUGAAAGGGUUUCCGCUCGCAGAGGAGCUCGCGUCCGAUUAGUUAGUUGGUGGGGUAAGAGCCUACCAAGGCAGCGAUCGGUAGCUGGUCUGAGAGGAUGAGCAGCCACACUGGGACUGAGACACGGCCCAGACUCCUACGGGAGGCAGCAGUGGGGAAUUUUCCGCAAUGGGCGCAAGCCUGACGGAGCAACGCCGCGUGUGGGAAGAAGGCUCUUGGGCUGUCAACCAGUUUUCUCAGGGAAGAAGUCCUGACGGUACCUGAGGAAUCAGCCUCGGCUAACUCCGUGCCAGCAGCCGCGGUAAUACGGAGGAGGCAAGCGUUAUCCGGAAUUAUUGGGCGUAAAGCGUCCGCAGGGGGCACUUCAAGUCUGCUGUCAAAGGUCGGAGCUUAACUCCGGUUCGGCAGUGGAAACUGGAGUGCUAGAGGGCGACAGGGGUAGAGGGAAUUCCCAGUGUAGCGGUGAAACGCGUAGAGAUUGCGAAGAACACCGGUGGCGAAAGCGCUCUACUGGGUCGCACCUGACCCUCACGGACGAAAGCUAAGGUAGCGAAAGGGAUUAGAUACC
rnacentral:rRNA from 1 species